rnacentral:rRNA from 1 species
CCUACGGGAGGCAGCAGUGGGGAAUCUUGCGCAAUGGGCGAAAGCCUGACGCAGCGACGCCGCGUGAGUGAUGAAGGCCUUCGGUUGUAAAGCUCUGGGGGAGAAUGUCCGGUAUCUCCUUAGCAAGCACCGGCUAACUCUGUGCCAGCAGCCGCGGUAAGACAGAGGGUGCAAACGUUGUUCGGAAUUACGGGCGUAAAGCGUGUGUAGGCGGCUAAGUAAGUCGGAUGUGAAAGCCCUGGGCUCAACCCAGGAAGUGCACUCGAUACUGCAUAGCUAGAGUACUGGAGAGGUUGGUGGAAUUCUCGGUGUAGAGGUGAAAUUCGUAGAUAUCGAGAGGAACACCGGUGGCGAAGCGGCCAACUGGCAAUACUGACGCUGAGACACGAAAGCGUGGGGAGCAAACAGGAUUAGAUACCCUUGUAGUC